rnacentral:rRNA from 1 species
UACGAAGGGGGCGAGCGUUGUUCGGAUUUACUGGGCGUAAAGGGCGCGCAGGCGGCGAUCUUUGUCAGGCGUGAAAGCCCCGGGCUCAACCUGGGAACUGCAUUUGUGACUGCAUCGCUGGAGUGCGGCAGGGGAGACUGGAAUUCCUGGUGUAGCGGUGGAAUGCGCAGAUAUCAGGAGGAAUACCGAUGGCGAAGGCAGGUCUCUGGGCUGACACUGACGCUCAUGCACGAAAGCGUGGGGAGCAAACAGG